UACGUAGGGUCCAAGCGUUAAUCGGAAUUACUGGGCGUAAAGGGUUCGUAGGUGGCUCGCUAAGUCAGACGUGAAAUCCCUCAGCUUAACUGGGGAACUGCGUCUGAGACUGGCAAGCUCGAGUGCAGGAGAGGAACGCGGAAUUCCAGGUGUAGCGGUGAAAUGCGUAGAUAUCUGGAGGAACACCGGUGGCGAAGGCGGCGUUCUGGACUGCAACUGACACUGAGGAACGAAAGCCAGGGGAGCAAACGGG
rnacentral:rRNA from 1 species